CCUACGGGAGGCAGCAGUGAGGAAUAUUGGUCAAUGGACGAGAGUCUGAACCAGCCAAGUAGCGUGAAGGAUGACUGCCCUAUGGGUUGUAAACUUCUUUUAUCUGGGAAUAAAAUGUUCCACGUGUGGGAUUUUGUAUGUACCCUAUGAAUAAGGAUCGGCUAACUCCGUGCCAGCAGCCGCGGUAAUACGGAGGAUCCGAGCGUUAUCCGGAUUUAUUGGGUUUAAAGGGGGCGUAGGGGGGGUGGUAAGUCAGUUGUGAAAGUUUGCGGCUCAACCGUAGAAUUGCAGUUGAAACUGGCAGUCUUGAGUAGGGGAGAGGUGGGCGGAAUGCGUGGUGUAGCGGUGAAAUGCUUAGAUAUCACGAAGAACUCCGAUUGCGAAGGCAGCUUACUGGAGUGCAACUGACACUGAGGCACGAAAGUGUGGGUAUCGAACAGGAUUAGAUACCCGGGUAGUC
rnacentral:rRNA from 1 species